UACGGAGGAUCCAAGCGUUAUCCGGAUUUAUUGGGUUUAAAGGGUGCGUAGGCGGCUUAUUAAGUCAGGGGUGAAAGACGGUGGCUCAACCAUCGCAGUGCCCUUGAUACUGAUGAGCUUGAAUACAUUAGAGGUAGGCGGAAUGUGACAAGUAGCGGUGAAAUGCAUAGAUAUGUCACAGAACACCGAUUGCGAAGGCAGCCUACUAUGAUGAGAUUGACGCUGAGGCACGAAAGCGUGGGGAUCAAACAGG
rnacentral:rRNA from 1 species